AAUUUUUAACAUUGAAUAUCUUGGUUUGCAUGACGAUGAAGGAUGCAGCAAAUUGCGAUAUGCAAUGCGAAUUGCAGAAUUCAGUGAGUUAUUAGAUUCCUGAACGCAAAUUGCGUUACUAUUUAACUAUAGUAACAUGUUUGUUUCAAAAUCU